GGCCUAACACAUGCAAGUCGACGGGUAACAGUUACGGGCAACUGGGAGCUGACGACCGGCGCACGGGUGAGUAACGCGUAUGCAACCUGCCCUUUGCCAGGGGAUAGCCCGGAGAAAUUCGGAUUAAUACCCUAUAAUAUUCAAAAAUCGCAUGUUUUUUGAAUUAAAGCUCCGGCGGCAAAGGAUGGGCAUGCGUGACAUUAGCUUGUUGGUGAGGUAACGGCUCACCAAGGCUGCGAUGUCUAGGGGGUCUAAAAGGAUGAUCCCCCACACUGGUACUGAGACACGGACCAGACUUCUACGGAAGGCAGCAGUGAGGAAUAUUGGGCAAUGGGCGCAAGCCUGACCCAGCCAUGCCGCGUGCAGGAUGACAGCCCUACGGGUCGUAAACUGCUUUUCUGCGGGAAGAAUCUCUCGAUCGUGAUCGGGACUGACUGUACCGCAGGAAUAAGGAUCGGCUAACUCCGUGCCAGCAGCCGCGGUAAUACGGAGGAUCCAAGCGUUAUCCGGAUUUAUUAGGUUUAAAGGGUGCGUAGGCGGGAUAGUAAGUCAGUGGUGAAAGCCUGCGGCUUAACCGUAGAAUUGCCAUUGAUACUACUAUUCUUGAGUACAGUUGAGGUGGGCGGAAUGUGUUAUGUAGCGGUGAAAUGCAUAGAUAUGACACAGAACACCGAUUGCGAAGGCAGCUCACUAAGCUGAUACUGACGCUGAGGCACGAAAGCGUGGGGAGCAAACAGGAUUAGAUACCCUGGUAGUCCACGCCGUAAACGAUGAUCACUAGCUGUAGGCGAUAUACAGUCUGCGGCUGAGCAAAAGUAUUAAGUGAUCCACCUGGGGAGUACGUCAGCAAUGAUGAAACUCAAAGGAAUUGACGGGGGCCCGCACAAGCGGAGGAACAUGUGGUUUAAUUCGAUGAUACGCGAGGAACCUUACCUGGGCUUAAAUGCUUUCUGAUCGUUUCGGAAACGGAAUUUCCCUUCGGGGCAGAUUGCAAGGUGCUGCAUGGUUGUCGUCAGCUCGUGCCGUGAGGUGUCGGGUUAAGUCCCAUAACGAGCGCAACCCUUAUUGUUAGUUACCAGCGGGUAAUGCCGGGGACUCUAACAAAACUGCCGGUGUAAACCGUGAGGAAGGUGGGGAUGACGUCAAAUCAGCACGGCCCUUAUGUCCAGGGCUACACACGUGUUACAAUGGCCAGUACAAAAGGCAGCUACCUGGUAACAGGAUGCUAAUCCCCAAACCUGGUCCCAGUUCGGAUCGGAAUCUGCAACUCGAUUUCGUGAAGCUGGAUUCGCUAGUAAUCGCACAUCAGCCAUGGUGCGGUGAAUACGUUCCCGGGCCUUGUACACACCGCCCGUCAAGCCAUGGAAGCCGAGGGUGCCUAAAGUCCGUAACCGCAAGGAGCGGCCUUAGGGUAAAAUCGGUAACUAGGGCUAAGUCGU
rnacentral:rRNA from 1 species